rnacentral:lncRNA from 1 species
CGCAUGCCAUCCAAGAAGGCAGCCAAAGGGGCUUCAUGCUAGAAGGAAGAGGGCACCUCUCUCAAACCCUAGCGCCUAGGGUUUUGGAGGGGGUGUCCCAUCAUGUGGGCGUCUCUUUUGUGUGGCCGCCCAAGAUCCCAUCUCCAUGAUCUCCAUGCCUUCUCUUCUCUACUGGUUGGGGGCUUGAAGGAGGAUAUUUUC